rnacentral:misc_RNA from 1 species
UGAGUUCGCGGGAGAGUAGGUUAUUGCCAGGGUUUUUAUUUUGUACUUUAAAUCCUAAAUUUAUUUUUUAUAUUUUUAUAAUGUUCAUGUUUUUGAAUGUUUUAUUCAAAUAAUGUAAAAAAUAAAAUAGAUAUUGACAUGGAUUGAACAAAAGAUAUAUAUUAUUUUAUGUUGCAUAAACAAAUUGGCAAAAUAGAGAUGGAAGAUAAAAAUAUGGUCAAAGUAAUAAGAGUCUAUGGUGAAUGCCUAGGAGCUUUAAGGCGAAGAAGGUCGUGGUAAGCUGCGAAAAGCUUGGGGGAGAAGCAAACAUUUGUUUAUCCCAAGAUACCGAAGGAGUAAUGCG